rnacentral:rRNA from 1 species
ACGGGAGGCAGCAGUGGGGAAUAUUGCACAAUGGGCGCAAGCCUGAUGCAGCGAUGCCGCGUGAGGGAAGAAGGUUUUCGGAUUGUAAACCUCUGUCAACAGGGACGAAAAUGACGGUACCUGUGAAGGAAGCCCCGGCUAACUACGUGCCAGCAGCCGCGGUAAUACGUAGGGGGCAAGCGUUAUCCGGAUUUACUGGGUGUAAAGGGAGCGUAGACGGAAGGCCAAGUCUGAUGUGAAAACCCGGGGCUCAACCCCGGGACUGCAUUGGAAACUGGUCAUCUAGAGUGCAGGAGAGGUAAGUGGAAUUCCUAGUGUAGCGGUGAAAUGCGUAGAUAUUAGGAGGAACACCAGUGGCGAAGGCGGCUUACUGGACUGUAACUGACGUUGAGGCUCGAAAGCGUGGGGAGCAAACAGGAUUAGAUACCCUGGUA